GUUAAAUCUCAGGCUCCGGCGUCUGGGGAGAAGUUAUAAUUAUUCAAUAUGUUCCCACUGACUGAGGAAAACAAGCAUGUGGCCCAGUUGUUGCUCAAUACUGGUACUUGUCCAAGAUGUAUCUUCAGAUUCUGUGGUGUGGAUUUUCAUGCACCUUACAAACUUCCAUACAAGGAGUUGCUCAAUGAACUACAGAAAUUUCUGGAAACUGAAAAAGAUGAAUUAAUUUUGGAAGUUAUGAACCCACCUCCCAAGAAAAUUCGACUGCAAGAACUGGAAGAUAGUAUUGAUAAUCUAAGUCAAAAUGGAGAGGGAAGGAUCUCUGUUAGUCAUGUUGGAAGCACUGCUUCCAAGAACUCAAAUUUAA
rnacentral:lncRNA from 1 species